rnacentral:rRNA from 1 species
AUUGAACGCUGGCGGCAUGCCUAACACAUGCAAGUCGAACGGCAGCACGGGAGCUUGCUCCUGGUGGCGAGUGGCGGACGGGUGAGUAAUGCAUAGGAAUCUGCCCAGUAGCGGGGGACAACUUGGGGAAACUCAAGCUAAUACCGCAUACGCCCUACGGGGGAAAGCGGGGGACCUUCGGGCCUCGCACUAUUGGAUGAGCCUAUGUCAGAUUAGCUUGUUGGUGGGGUAAAGGCCUACCAAGGCGACGAUCUGUAGCUGGUCUGAGAGGACGAUCAGCCACACUGGGACUGAGACACGGCCCAGACUCCUACGGGAGGCAGCAGUGGGGAAUAUUGCACAAUGGGCGAAAGCCUGAUGCAGCAAUGCCGCGUGUGUGAAGAAGGCCUGCGGGUUGUAAAGCACUUUCAGUAGGGAGGAAACAGUAGCCGGUUAACUAUCCGGUUGCCUUGACGUUACCUACAGAAGAAGCACCGGCUAACUCUGUG